UACGGAGGGGGCGAGCGUUAUUCGGAAUUAUUGGGCGUAAAGGGCGCGUAGGCGGCUUGAUGUGUCAAAGGUGAAAUCCCGGAGCUCAACUCCGGAACUGCCUUUGAUACUGGCAAUCUUGAGGCUGGAAGAGGUUAGUGGAAUUCCCAGUGUAGAGGUGAAAUUCGUAGAUAUUGGGAAGAACACCAGUGGCGAAGGCGGCUAACUGGUCCAGAUCUGACGCUGAGGUGCGAAAGCGUGGGGGGAGCAAACAGG
rnacentral:rRNA from 1 species